rnacentral:rRNA from 1 species
GAUGAACGCUGGCGGCGUGCCUAAUACAUGCAAGUCGAGCGAACAGACGAGGAGCUUGCUCCUCUGACGUUAGCGGCGGACGGGUGAGUAACACGUGGAUAACCUACCUAUAAGACUGGGAUAACUUCGGGAAACCGGAGCUAAUACCGGAUAAUAUAUUGAACCGCAUGGUUCAAUGGUGAAAGACGGUUUUGCUGUCACUUAUAGAUGGAUCCGCGCCGCAUUAGCUAGUUGGUAAGGUAACGGCUUACCAAGGCAACGAUGCGUAGCCGACCUGAGAGGGUGAUCGGCCACACUGGAACUGAGACACGGUCCAGACUCCUACGGGAGGCAGCAGUAGGGAAUCUUCCGCAAUGGGCGAAAGCCUGACGGAGCAACGCCGCGUGAGUGAUGAAGGUCUUCGGUUCGUAAAACUCUGUUAUUAGGGAAGAACAAAUGUGUAAGUAACUAUGCACGUCUUGACGGUACCUAAUCAGAAAGCCACGGCUAACUACGUG